rnacentral:lncRNA from 1 species
CUUAAUGAAAUAUAAAGAAGAUAGAUGAUCAUCUCCUAAACAACCCCAACUUCAAAUGAACAAAUAUUUACGGAGAUUUUUCAAUGCCAGUUAGUAACCUCUCCAAGUCAUCAAAAAUCCUUAACUCUACUUCUUAUAACACACCACAACAAGCAUAAAAAGAUCUACUCCACACCAUUUUGCGAACCUUACCACAAACCAUCAUGCGAACCAUACUAAAUAUCCUUAACAAAAUGGGGAAUAACCCAUGACUGUAAACAAGGAGAACAACAAAGUCAUAAAGUCCCUUGUUAUGUCGGCAGAAGCUUUGAUGCAAACAUCAUUA